AACGAACGAUGGCGGCAGGCUUAACACAUGCAAGUCGAGCGCCCCGCAAGGGGAGCGGCAGACGGGUGAGUAACGCGUGGGAAUCUACCCAUCUCUACGGAAUAACGCAUGGAAACGUGUGCUAAUACCGUAUACGUCCUUCGGGAGAAAGAUUUAUCGGAGAUGGAUGAGCCCGCGUUGGAUUAGCUAGUUGGUAGGGUAAAGGCCUAGCAAGGCGACGAACCAUAGCUGGUCUGAGAGGAUGAUCAGCCACACUGGGACUGAGACACGGCCCAGACUCCUACGGGAGGCAGCAGUGGGGAAUAUUGGACAAUGGGAGCAAGCCUGAUCCAGCCAUGCCGCGUGAGUGAUGAAGGCCCUAGGGUUGUAAAGCUCUUUCACCGGUGAAGAUAAUGACGGUAACCGGAGAAGAAGCCCCGGCUAACUUCGUGCCAGCCGCCGCGGUAAAAC
rnacentral:rRNA from 1 species